UGAUGAUGAUGAUGAUGAUGAUGAUGAUGAUGAUGAUGAUGAUGAUGAUAACAAUGAUGAUGAGGAUCAUCAUCAUCAUCAUCAUCAUCAUCAUCAUCACCAUAU
rnacentral:pre_miRNA from 1 species